AGGAGCCCUUGCUUCUUCAGGAACUCCCAGCAUCAUGCUUUCUCAUUUCAUGGAGUCUCUCAGCGUCCUGGGUUCCCUCCUGCUGCUUGGACUCCAGCUCGUCUGCCCACAGCCCUCCACUGAACACAGAAAGGUCCCGCAGCGGAUGGCGGCGGCCCAGGGCGUCCCCGAGGACGGCGGCGGCGGCGG